rnacentral:tRNA from 2 species
GGGCGGUUAGCUCAGUGGCAAGAGCGCUACCCUUACAAGGUAGAAGUCGCAGGUUCAAGUCCUGCACCGCCCA